AGGAGGUGAAGGCACCGGGGCCACGGAUGAGAAUGAAGUCCCCGAGCAGAGGGCAGGAGAGCGAGAGCACUGCCGUGUCGUACCACACUUUGUAUUACUGUGUCGUACUCCCUCAUCGUGGACACUGUGGUGUGCCCCCCAGAUCUCCACCAUCGGGGCCAGUGCAUACAUUCUCCCAGCUUCUGGGGAAGUUGCCAUCUGAAAGCUCAUCGCUGAGUCCCUCUCCAGGAAUUUCUCUCCUCCAAGGGGAACCCUCUCAUCCAAGGCUACUCUUCCUCCCAGGAAGGAAACCGCAUCCAGUGACAUUCUACAAAAACACAUCUCCCUGUGUCACUUCUGGACCUCUCAGCUUCAGAGCUCCCUGUGAGAUCAUGUUCCAGUUCAACUCCCCCUUCUGCCAAAUCGUACACAGGUGCUGUUCUGGAGGACACUCCCUGAUAAACUUCUGGCUGCCAAGUCUCCAUCUCAGACCCAGGGACCCCAACUGACAACACCUCUAAUGAGACAGGAAGCUUACUGAAGACCAGCUGUCAAAUUCUUUGUAUCUGCCUUCCCCUUCCGUCCUACUCCGUCUCCCUGGUACUUGGCACAGUGCCGAACAGACUUCAGAUGGAUGGGACAUGGAUGGUGACUUGCACAAAGAUUGGACAAGGACUAUCUAUUUCCCUUCUUUGCAUCCGAAGUAAACACCGAAUAUCUUCUUGUCUCUAAUAUGCAAAAUAUUCAUAGAAUUUACAAAUAAUACAAAAUAUAUACAGUCUAGGGAUUCCUUCUGUAAAGUGUUUCCUGGGGAAAUGCACAUUUUAAAACCCAGAGAAUGUUUUUUUAUUUUUAAAAUGAGGGAAGUGUAGCCCAGACUCACUUUAAUCUUUCUGCUUUAGGUGAACAGGCCUCGGGGCAAUUAAGAGAGGCGUGAUAUAAAUCUACUUUUUCUCGGGCCACUGGUGAAAUUUUCACUGUUGAUGAAGAAAGUGAACAACCCAUUCCAGUGACUCUGUAGACAUUCUAGAAAGAUCCGCUUCCCUAAAACCUUCCCUUGUUUAGCUCAAUGGUAAUUUUGGCUAAGUGAUUAUUAGUGGCAAUGCUUAUGGCCUAAUUGGGGCUGUAUUUCUGCUCUAAUGGCUCCCAGUCAACGUUCCCAGCAAGAGGUUGUGAGGCAGAUCCCCCAGUGGGUUGGCA
rnacentral:lncRNA from 1 species